rnacentral:lncRNA from 1 species
AUUUAUUAUAUCAUAAACUGAAAUUUAUGAUAUACAAACAUUAAAAUAAAAUUAAUUAUGAAUUUUUUGUGUUGAAAGAAAAAUGUACCAUUUGUUUCAUGUUAAAGAAGUGACUUGCAUAUUCACGUUCCUGUUUAUACAACAUUCUCGAUGGUCCAGCACCAUUUUAGUGAGCCAGUCGUCCAGAGAUUUUCUUGUCUCGUUCAGAGACGAAAAAAAUUAACAAAUGAUCUUAAUCUUUCAAAUUUUGCUUGUCCAGCUAAACUGGUGUGGUUCACUUGUUAUCAAAUGAACCCUAAGAUGUGUUCGAAUAAUUUUUAGCUGAUCAGAAACAAAGCCGCAUGCGAAAACGGUCGAAAAAAGGUUCCGAUAAAAAAAAACGGUCCAAAUUACCCUUUUUUCUUGUAGUGGCAGCUCUCAAGUAUAGCUAACAAAUACAGAUAAGAUAAAAAAAAUUAACUACAGUUCUGAUGAGCCGCUGAUGCAGAAAUCUACAUGAUAUAUUUCUCAUGUCACGAGGAUAUAUAUAGGAAUUUUACUGUAAAAUAAAAUGAACGAGUGUAGUAUGGUAUUUACAUGCAGCUCUUGUAUGUGUUCCCAUGUUAGGGCAAAAUUAUCAUGAAUAUUGGGUCAACAUUUUUAUCUCUCUCUUUUAUUUGCUUGCUAUUUAAAUUCAUAUUUAGUUUUAAAAAAUAAAUAAAUUUUAUAAAAGUUUUAUAUUAACCCUAAUUGUUUAUAAAAAUUAAUUUGCAUAUAGUUGAAAAUAUGUGUAGUUUAGUAGGAUAUUGUGUUUAGCUCUUUUGCAAGGUAUUAAAAUCUUUGCAGAAAUUAUGAACUAAACAACCACCGAUGUUAUAAUUAUAUAAUAUUGAUUAUUCUAUAUGAAUAUUUUAAAUAUAAAAUUUAAAUUUAAUAUGACAGUUUUUUUUGUAGUUUUUUAUUGUUAGUUUGAUUUUUGGGAUCUUUUUAAAAAUACCCAUCUGUAAAAUUAUUUUUUUAAAAAUACUACAAUCUUUUUCAUUGUUUUUAA